rnacentral:sRNA from 1 species
GUUUAGCCCCGGUUGCAGAGGCAUCCUUUUUUUUUAUUUCAAAAAAAAGAUACAGCGAAAAACGGAACCUAAU